GCUGCCAAAGAACCGAGAAGGCCCUGUGUCACUCAGAGCUGCUACUGUGCCUCUGCCACCUACUCCAGCCAUGUCUCCUCCACUCACAAUCUCUACCUGUACCUGCUUCUUUCUUGGCUGCGUAGAAGCAGUUUCCAUCCUGCGCUCAGAAGAGGAUCCUUCUCAUUCCUCUCCUGUUCAAUUCCUUUCCAUAGUUCAACACCUAACUCAUUAUCCUUGUACAAUGAAGCCUAGGUACACACCCUAGCUUCCCCUCCCCACUCCCGGGCUCACCAUUUGAGUGCUGAAUAAUGGUAAACUUUUCCAUGGUAGAUGGCUAACACUAGUCUCAGAACUCUAUGGGGACAAGGGCUGUGUGUGUCUUGUGCAUUGCUGACCCCUCAAUACUUGGCCAGCCUCUUGCUGCUCAGAGUAGAAUUAAGAUUGUUGACGGAGGUGAAUGCACAGUCAGGUUAGAUCGGACUGUUGCUCUGUGUAUCCUUAGGUGAGUGAGCCCCUGGACCCUGUGGUCCUCUGUCACCCUGUUGGUUAUAGCUGAGUAAGGAAAGCACAUGGCCCUAAAGAGUUUUUGUUGGCCUCCUGAGUGUGAAAGAAUAACUUAAAAACAAGUGAUUCUAAGUGGACAAUGCAAGAUGCUGAGGAAUGGUCACUGCUUCAGAUGCACUACAAAUGAACGGAGUGGGGCUUCCUGCAGUCUGAUGUAAAGGCCAGCAACACAUACAAGGGUCUGUUUGUCUCCGGUGAACAGCUGUCAAGAUGUAAAGUGGUGGACUGAGAGAUGCUAGUGGAACUAAGCAGUGGGUGUCAGGGACUAGCCGGUCCCCAUCCACGCCCAGGGCCUAGUAGGUGCACUUGGACAUGGCUAUACACUUAUUCACUACUCUCACCCUGAUUCAAGGAUAUCCCUGAGGUAGAAUCUCUGAAAUACUGCAGCCCCUGCCAGGAUGAGUCACUUCACCUUCCUGAGCCUUGGCUUCCUUAUCUCAGAUGGAGAUGAAGUCCCAGUAUUCUCCUCAUUGACCGUGACAAUAAUUUCUGCUACAAUUGCUAAAGUCGACGCCACAGGGACCUAAAAGCAGCUAUCCCCACCCUGCUCUUCUCAUAUCUUAUUCCAGUACUUCUGAGGGGUUCCUUGAUUCUUCACCAUCUUUCUUCCUACCCAGUGAGCCAACAGUUAUUUGUAACCUUAGGAACACAGCCAUGUUUUUAUAGCACUUUAUUUUACUUUUAAAUGAAGUAUUUUUUAACAAAAGAUUAAGAGUGUGUGUGUGUGUGUGUGUGUGUGUGUGUGUGUGUGUGUGUGUGUGUGAAAGAGGGAAAAUUGCAGGAUUUGUUUCUUUCCUUCCAUCAUGUGUGUCCUAGAGAACAAACUUAACUGUCAGACUUGGCACCAGGAGCCUUUACCCACUGAGCCAUCUCUCCAGCCCUUUGUAACAUUUUAAAUAAACUUGGAAAACAUGUGUCACCCAAGAACCUAUAAAGCAGUGUAUACUAUGAAUUCUUGAACAGGGCUUCAAGGCACAGGUAGCAUUGUGGAAUGAAGCAGCAGCUCGAAUGAAGUGUUUCCUCAUAUAAUCUCUGAAUAACAGUCCAUAAAAUGUUAGAAACUUAAGGCACUGAGCUAUUACAUCACUUUAUUAUCUUGUCCAAGCUCAGGGAACAUUCCCACCGGGUGUUAUUUUUAUGAGCAUCUAAAAUAAACCACAAAACCUUACCUGCAUUUGAGCCAUUGACUAUCAAACGGACCAAAGAGCUAAGUCUACAAAUGACAGCGUCUGGCUCCUCUAUGGCCCAGCAUCUCAAGAGAAGGGUCAUUGACUGAAGCCAUCUAGCAAUUCCAGGUAUACGCUUCCUGGGCUCACUGAUGUAGCAGCAUGUAAGGAACUGGUGAUGCCAAGCUAGUUCCUAUUGGAUGGAGCAAGUGAGAGGCCUGAGGGUAUGGGAAACAGCAGAGGCAAGGUGGAGUCUUCUCUAAGCCACAGUCCCUCAGAGAUGUGUUUAUUACCAAGGUGUGAACAAAAAAAUAUCUUCCUUUCUGGGGAGCUUGUCAUCAAGGGCUCAAGUAACUACUGCUGUUUUAAUUAACUCACACUCACAACCUGUUGACAGAUACCAGGCAAGGAACAUUCGGGUCUUCGCUGGAAGAAAAAGCCUCUUAGGACUGACUUUCCCCCAGGUAUGGUAGCAUGCUCCUGAAAGACUCAAAAAGGAGAUGAAUGGCUCUCCAUGUCCCUGGCACCCACAUGCUGUUGUCUCCUUAAUUAGCAUUGAUGUCAAUCUUUCAACAUGUAUGUUUAUUUAUGUGUAUCAGGUGUUAGGCGUUGGAGUCAGAUUUCUGACCUCAGGCCUAAUGAAGCAUAGGAGAGCCUGCCACCCAGAGUUUACAGCCCUAGGGGUCAAGACACAGACUGUGGAAUGAAGGCUUAGCAGUAAGCUGCAGCUGUGAUAAGCACCAUGAAUGAUGCUGGGGGGCCUGAGAGCUGGUUCAGCAGUGUGGCCUGGGCUAACUUGGAACACAGAGUUAUGCUGAGGGUAUGACCCAAAGAUUGAGACCUAAGAAUGAGCGAACAUUAUCUAGGGGAAGUAGGAGCAAGAUGGGUACCUGCGGUUUUCUAGGAAGAAGGAAGGAAAUGCAUAUAGCUGCCAAAAGUGGAAUAAAGGGACUUGUCAGACUGAGAAAUGUAUGGUGGGGUUGCCUUAGUUAGGGUUUUACUGCUGUGAACAGACACCAUGACCAAGGCAACUCUUCUAAGGACAACAUUUAAUUGGGUCAGGCUUACAGGAUCAGGGGUUCAGUCCGUUAUCAUCAAAGGAGGAACAUGGCAGCAUCCAGGCAGGCCUGGUGCAGGAGGAGCUGAGAGUUCUACAUCUUCAUCUGAAGGCUGCUAGCAGAAUCCUGACUGCCAGGCAGCUAGGAUGAGGGUCUUGAAACCCACACCCACAGUGACACAGCUACUCCAAAAAGGUCACACCUACUCAAACAGGGCCACAGCUUCUAAUAGUGCCACUCCUUGGGCCAAGCAUAUACAAACCAUCACAGGGGGCCAUCUAAUAAAAGGUUUAUAGGACAUAAGAUCACCCACCUGGAGGGCACGAAGAACAUUUCUCACAGCUCCAGUGAGCCCUCAGCAUUAACCACAGUCCCACUUCUCCUCUAGGGUAUCAUCUGUGCCUCAUGCUUUCCAUCCUGCUUGGUACCAAUUUCCAAGUCUGUCUGCCCAGUAGAUGCAUCUAGGCUCAUAGGCAGCAAGCUCAGGUCUAUUGCCUAAAAACUCAAUAGUUUCUAAUUUGUAAAUGUUUGGCAAACAGAUACACUGAACAACAUCUACAAAACACACUUAACUGUCAACACCACCAGUCACAAAUGGCCAUAAUUCCAUGGUACCUAAAACAGGCAAAGCCCAAGAUAGAAAGUCUAUUUGUUGCCAAGAGCAGAGGAGGGUGACUGCUAGUAUGUUUAUGAUGGCUGCACUAUUCUGAAUAUGCAGACAGAACCCACUGCACUGUGCACUUCAAAGGGGAGAGCUUUACAGUGCUAAGUCAGAGCUCAAUUGAACUUUUCUCUAUAAAAGCAGAGGGAGGAAACCAACACCAGAUGGCUUCCAAUGGGACCAGAAACUGUGACUUUGAAUCCAGCAACCUGAGAACUGAACUGUUGUGCCUUUAAAAUGCACUCAAACUAAUCCUCAUCUUGUGAGGUCAAAGGACAGGAAAUUGCCUCACCAGGUCCUCCACAACCGAUAUGCUGAGCUAUGUUGACCUGCUUCAAUACAAUAACAGUAUGGUCAAAGACUUCCUAACAUCUAUUGGUAGGUUCCCAGGAAGAACACAUCCAUUCCUGUCACCUUGACAAUAUCCAACAUCAGUGAGUUCACUUGACUUUGGAGCUUGUAAGCUUUGGGCUUCAUGACCCAAGACAGUAGGGCAAAAUCCAACUCUGGAAAAUGAAACUAUUGCAUCUAACCUUUUUGAAUGUUUGGUUUAUUAUUAUUAUUAUUAUUAUUAUUAUUAUUAUUAUUAUUAUUAAUUAUUAUUAUUUCUGGUGUUUCUCUAACUAGUAAGAUUUCUGUUUUUGCAACUGAGUUUUUAGAAAAGAAUAUAUAUGAGACCAACCUACCCAGUAAACUGUAGGCUGGAGGCAUGGAGGCCACACUGCUUUACUGAGCCCACAGGCAGAAGGAGGCGUGACUGAAUGAAUAUCUAAGAUGCAAAAACAAUUUUGAAGAUCUACUUUUAAGAGGGUGCACUGGAGGACCAGGCGUCCCCACCUAAACUGUGAUUCAGUAUCUCCUCCACACGCCCUGCUUCAUCUAACGCCAAAAUGCCAUUUCUGAUACCUGACUCCAAAGACAUGAGCUUCGGGAGGGCUGGGAGUAGGCCAGAAGCUGGGAGGGAGCAGAAGAAACUAGCUCUUUCCUGGUGACUUUCAGAAGUGACCAGAAAGAACAGGCUUGCUUGUCAGCCAUGCAGACCUCUGGGCACCAUACCAGACGCUAUCCUACACCAAGAUAGAAGUCCAGGACGAAAGGGAUAUGGGUGAGGCUGAUUAAAGUGGUACAAGGAUACCUUUGUGAGAAGCACCUCCCACUGAUCCUGCUGUCCCUGGAAGCUGCACCUACUCUGGCUGUCACUUCUGUCUCUACUCCCUGUCUACUCCCGCAGGCAGUGAUUCUCUUCCAGGCCAACUGUGAGCUGUAGUUUAUUGGCAGAGGCUCGGUAAGGUCAGUCACAUGCCAGGAACAAACCUCUCACUUGUUUGGGAUUUGGGUUUUAAGGACUUUCCUAGGACUGAUACACAGAAGCAAGAUUUACCCUUGCUUUGAGACAGUAAGUUUCAGGAGUGCCUUGCAGUAAAGACAAGGUUUGUCCCAGCAUUGCAAACCUCAGCACAGCUGUGUUAGCUGUUAAGUCCUACCUCAGGCUUAAGACAAAGUCAAGCCUUACUCCGCCUUGAGGCAGAAGGAAGCCUUACCCAAGCUUUGAGAUAGAGGUAAGCCUUACUCCAGCCUUGUAGUGGCCACUGAGAAUUUUAAUGAAGUUGGGUCCCUGGGCUGUACAUACCCUUUGGUAGUGAGAAACAUGUCCUUGGGGACUAGAUUUGCAAUGGGAAAGGAGCCAAAACCAACUUGGCACUGAGACUGAAGACUGAUCCAGCAGAGAAAUCACAUUUGGGUCUGAGGCCAGAGCAACUACAAUGAAGACCUGACAUUCUGGGAGGACUUGAGCGCUCUUCUUGAGAACAUGAGAAGAAAGAACUUCUCAGCAGGGGAAAGAUGAAUACAAGGACACACUUGAACAGACCUGUGUUUUAUAACCAUAUCUCAUCCGGCUUCUGACAGCGGGGACUCAGUUCUUCCAAUUCAAUGAAUGCCCAACAUUCAUCCCUGGAAGAAGGGACAGGACACUGUGAGGACUGAUCAGAGACUCACCUUGCCAGUGAUGCUUGUAGUCACACAUGCGGGACAGGGCGAUCAUCAUGGCACAGUACAAGGGCAAUAUGGCUGCACAGAGCCGCCAGCUCUUCCCCCGCCCACUCUCCGUGAAGCAGUGCAACUUGCCAGCCAGGUAGAAUGUUGUGAAACCGAGGCCCGAGAAGGCAACUGCCAAAGAGAAAAAGCAGACAUUACCCUAGCGGGUGAGGAGCAGUGGGGACUUGGUGAAUCUCAGACUUCCUGUCUGCCAUCUUUAUGCCCCAAGGCCAAGGCAAGAGAAACCAGGUACCUUGUAGGAAAUCUGUUCUGCCACAGCUAUUCUAGAAUAAACAUGCAACCAUGAGAAUGACCUUCCAGGUGUGCUUGUGCCCAAAGCCUAUUCUGUGUCAUUAUCCUCACUCACAUGUUCAACAAAGGGUUAAUGAUGUGUUUGUGAUGGGUGAUCUUGGUUGUCAACUUGACAUACCUGAGACAAAUGAAACCUCAGUUAAGAAACUCCCUUCAUCAGAUUGACCCAUGGACAUAUCUAUAGAGCAAUUUCUUGAGUGCUAAUUGAGGGGAAAGAGCCCAGCCCACUGUGGGCAGUAUCAUCCCUAGGCAUGGGAGCCUGGGCUGUUUAAGAAAGGUAGCUGAACAUGAACCAGGAAGCAAGCCAAUAAUCAGGUUCCUGCUUCAAACUCCCUGGCUUCCCUCCAUGAUAGACUGUAACCUAUAAGAUAUGAAAUAUAACUUUUUAUCCCCCAAGUUGCCUUUUAUUUUCAGAGUGAGUUAUCAUAGCAUGGAAAAGCUAGCUAGGACAGCUAUCUAAUAUAUGCUAGGCAGACACAUGUUAAAUGGGAGAAGAAAAAGAUAUGCAGGACACCAUCUCUGCUCUCACUGGGCUUGGGGGCUGAUGGAAGAAUAUGGCCGUUCUGCGAGACUAUGUUAAAUAUAUAUUACAUGCAGUAAGAAAAAAGUGCACCCAGGUAAAAAGUCAGGAAGAUGUUUGCUUACAUUAGAAGGGUCAGGAUGAGUGAGAUGACUGGGAUAAUUUCUGCGUUUUGUUAGAGAUAAAUCAUGAAACAGCAGCAUUUGCUGACCUCAGCAAAUACCAAAAAGGAGUGGACUUGAUGGAGAAGCCACUCAUGGCAAACACCUUAAAUUAAUUUUAAAUUAUAAAAUUACUGUAUUUUAGAAAUGCAUAGACUUAAAACCACGGAGUUUGGAUAUAGUAUACGUAAACUGACAGGCUUUCAUCCUUCUAUUUAUGGCUAUAUGAAUGGAUCUGGAAGGCACUCUAGUAUGUGAAAUAAAUGUGCCCAAGAAAGACAA